GCCAGGCGUGGUGGCUCAUGCCUGUAAUCCCAGCACUUUGGGAGGCUGAGGUGGGUGGAUCACCUGAGGUCAGGAGUUCGAGACCAGCCUGACCAACAUGGAGAGACCCUGUCUCUA
ensembl:misc_RNA Metazoa_SRP Metazoan signal recognition particle RNA